rnacentral:lncRNA from 1 species
CUUUGGUUUGUUGUUUCAUUCUAAAAUUGCAUCAUAUAAAUUCUUGGAGUUGUUGUUACUUUGAUGUUUUAGCCUUAAACCCCACUAGGUCGAAAUAAUUGAACGAAUUGACCCCGUUAUUCACAGCUUACCCCAAGUGAAUAGAGCUUUUAAUUAGUCACUUGUACACUUGCCUUUUAUUUUACUCGCAUCAGCAUUAUUAGCUUGCCACGUUCAAACUUAUGUAAUCUCAUCUUUGAAAUAAAGAAAAAACAAAUAAAAAAUAAAAACUAAAUAAAAUAAAAUAAAAUUCAGAUUGCUAUUUUACUGUUGACGCCCAUUUUUUAUUGAUCUCUCUAGUGCACUUCACCUAGCUAAUGUUAUCGUGUAUGCGAUUGCGUAGUGGUUGCGUUACUACCUCUAGCACUAGUACCCUUGCCAUGGACCAAUCCAAAAUUAAGACUCUUACCCGACAGUUGACACCACUUGUCAAUGGGUAACAACAGUUACAAAAUCAAUUAGCAACUGUCUAAACUGAGGUAGAUGCUACUCGUGAGAAGAAUAGAGCCCUAGCUGCUAGGUUGGACACAUUUGAGCAUACUCCAUACUUGACUGAAGCUGAAAACUCGAAAGCGUCCAUUAAUAGAUCUCAUUGUCGUCCACAAGGUGGUUGACACCAUGCUAGACAUGAUCAUAGGAAUGGAAAUUAAGUUCGUGAACAAGAACGGGAACAUCACCGUUAUGAUACUCAGCCUCUCCCCGCCACAAGGAGCCUUUCUUUAGAAAAAUUAAGUUGACGCCCCACAUUUGAUGGAUGUCUAGACCCUAGUGUAUUCACUCAAUGGGUUAGAGAUAUGGAUUGUUCUUUCGCCUAGUAUGGAGUCCCGAAAGAUCGGAAAGUUCAAUUCGCCUGUCUGAAAUCAACUGACAAUGCUCAACUCUUUUAGAAAAGUGUUGAGGAUCUCCUGGAGAGAAGUCAUGCUCCCCUUGUUGGGAGUUGGGAGGAAAUGAAGCGCCGCUUUCAAGAUAAAUACUUAUCCUAAUCUUAUAGGGUAAAUUGUUGGAUCAAUGGAACGUACUUACGCAAGACAAUCGACUUGUGACUGAGUACAUCGCUCAAUUUGAUGAGUUUCGAAUGAGAUGUUAGAUCGUUGAGGAUGAGGUCAUGACCUUGAGUAGGCUUAGGCAAGGUCUAAGGGAUGAUCUUAGGCGUGAGCUUGCCCUUAGAGGCGUCACCACUCUUCACCACGCCUACUCCUUCAUUCGGGAUUACAAGUUAGUGACUAGGACGUCGUAUAGAACUCGUAGUGACACCCGCACUGCAACCUCUUCUGCACCUACUCCAUCCCCUAAGUCUAUUAUAGGGCCUCCUCCUUCUAAUGUUACCCUUGUAUCGGAUAGUAAAGGUAAAGGUCCUAAGGUUUCACGAGCGUCCUCCCGUUUGCAACGUUUUAACUGUAAGGGUUUUAGUUACAUUUCUUCUAGAUGUUCUAGUCGAGCUCUAGUUAUGGAAGAAUGUGAGGGUAUGGUAGACGAACCAUUGGAGAACCAAGUUUAUGAACCUAAGCUGGAAGAGUUUGAUGACUUGAAUGAUAGUGAAGAUACCUUCUUAGGUUGUAUUCAGGCAGUUCCCUUACUCCAAACACGUCUAGAGUCUGUGUCUACAUUGUAAUCUUACCCAACCCAACGAUGCAAAUGAUUGGCGUCGUCAUGCCAUUCCACACUUACAUCAAGAUCAAUAAUAAGGGCUGUAAAGUUAUUGUGGAUGGUGAUAGCAGCAUUAACGCGGUUUAAAUGGCUACUGUAUCCCGUCUUGGGUUGAAGCCAAUUCCUCACCCUCAGCCGUAUAGCGUUUCCUAGUUUGAUACGCCUUUUAUAGCUGUCAAAGAGCGUUGUCCGG